rnacentral:rRNA from 1 species
CCUACGGGAGGCAGCAGUGAGGAAUAUUGGUCAAUGGACGAGAGUCUGAACCAGCCAAGUAGCGUGAAGGAUGACUGCCCUAUGGGUUGUAAACUUCUUUUAUAUGGGAAUAAAACGUUCCACGUGUGGGAUUUUGUAUGUACCAUAUGAAUAAGGAUCGGCUAACUCCGUGCCAGCAGCCGCGUUAAUACGGAGGAUCCGAGCGUUAUCCGGAUUUAUUGGGUUUAAAGGGAGCGUAGGUGGAUUGUUAAGUCAGUUGUGAAAGUUUGCGGCGCAACCGUAAAAUUGUAGUUGAAACUGGCAGUCUUGAGUACAGUAGAGGUGGGCGGAAUGCGUGGUGUAGCGGUGAAAUGCUUAGAUAGCACGAAGAACUCCGAUUGCGAAGGCAGUUCACUGGACUGCAACUGACACUGAGGCUCGAAAGUGUGGGUAUCAAACAGGAUUAGAUACCCCAGGAGUC